CAGCAGGCAGCCCCUUUCAAAGUCCAUGGUGUAAAAAGUCCAUUCCUGGACUUUGUUAAUGCAACUCUGCUUUAGAGCUGAUCUUGCACAGCAGGCGAUUGCACAGUCUGCAUUCAUCAGCCCUCCUUGGGAGAAGGUGGGAGACCCAAGUGUCUGUAGCUGGACCAGAACGGGAAGGACUGGGAGAGGAAUCAUGACCCAAGAGCGACUGUGGCAGGUCCUGGAUCCAUUCUGGGGAGACCCUCGCACCCUCUCAGCUCUGCUGUGCAGCUCGGUGGCUGCUGUUGUGCUACUGAAGUGGCUGGAACGCAGGCAGAUCCAGCAGAAGAUGGAGGAGGCGAGGAGGGCACGGGAUCUGGCCCUGGAGCGAAUGGAGAAGGCAGCUCAAAGGUUUAAGCAAGAGAACCCAGGCACUCAGACUGCACAAAUCCUCUCACUGACAAUGGUGGAGCUGGUGGAGAAGCUGAAGGACGGGUCCCUGUCCCCAGAAAGUGUCCUCUACUCUUAUAUGGGCAAAGCUUUGGAGGUGACUCAGGAGGUGAACUGUGUGACAGACUUUAUUCACGGCUGUGAGGAUCAGCUCCAAAAACUGAAGAAUCAGAAGGAGAAGGGACUGCUCUAUGGCAUUCCCAUCAGCAUCAAGGACCACAUUGACUGCAAGGGCCACAUCUCCUCUGGAGGGAUGGUGAAGUUUCUGGGCCAAGUAAAGGAAGAAGACAGCGUCAUUGUCCAGGUUCUAAAGUGCCAGGGGGCAAUCCCCUUUGUGAGAACCAACAUUCCGCAGACGAUGAUAAACUAUGACUGCAGCAACCUCAUCUUUGGCCAGACGCUGAACCCUCUCAACCACCAGAAGAGCCCCGGGGGCUCCUCAGGAGGGGAGGGAGCUCUGAUCGCAGGAGGAGGCUCCAUCCUGGGCAUCGGGUCGGAUGUAGCUGGCAGCAUCCGCCUGCCAUCCAGCUUCUGCGGGCUGUGUGGGCUCAAACCCACAGGCAACAGGAUCAGCAAACUGGGUGUUGUUUCGCCUAUCAUAGGAAUGAAAUCAGUGGCAGCAGCGCUGGGGCCGAUGGCGAGGGAUGUGGACAGCCUGGCCCUGUGCAUGAAGGCGCUGCUCUGUGAGGAGAUGUUCCGGCUGGACCCCACCGUGCCCCCCAUCCCCUUUGAUGAGGAGGUUUACACCAGUUCGAAGCCACUUCGGAUUGGAUACUAUGAAGGAGAUGGCUACUUUCAGCCCUCGCCCAGCAUGAAACGGGCCAUCCAGGAGACAAGAAAACUCCUGCAGGAUGCAGGGCAUACGCUUGUUCCCUUUGCACCACCCAAGAUUGACUAUAUGGUAGACGAGCUGUUCACCAGAGGGAUUUUCUCGGAUGGUGCUGCUCACCUGGUGGACUGCUUCAAAGGAGACAUUGUGGAUCCCGCCCUGAAAUCCCAGUUCAAUACUUACAGGCUUCCUGCUCUGGUCAAAAGGAUCUUGGCUAUAAUUUUGAAACCCAUAUACCCAAGAAUCGCUCGGGAUCUCAGCGCUCUCUGUGGAGUGGGGGAUUAUUUUAAGAGCUCAAGGAUCCUCAUCAUGGCAGGGUUAUGGAGAUCAGCAGAGAGAGAUACAGGCUACUUUCCCCACCAGGUGGAUUCUGGUACCCAGAGCAUCGCGUGCCAAGUUAAACAGAGGUCUCUGCAUGGAGGUGCAGUGUGGUGUGAAGUACCUGCCCCCCCAAAAGAAACAGAGGCACACCAAAAUGGGAGUUUUUCACUUCCAAAGUGAAAUUGGAAGACUGCCAUGAUCUUUGUCUAGGUUCCAAAGCCCCAAGACAUGAUGGCAUGCUUUUAACAUAAGCUCUUUUGCUGUACCUGUAAGCACAUGUGAACCCAGUGGAAUCAGCUGGGUGACACUUUAGCUUGUUCCCAGAAAGCUCACACCAUUUCCGUAACAAUGGGCUGGCUGCAUUUUGUUAAUUGUGUUCUGUUGCCAAAGUCCCAAAGCUGAUUAAUUCUGUCACCUUUCCAGGUCUGCCAAAAACCUCUGGGAUCAGCAUGGAGCAGUGGAGCUGCGACCUCCUAUACCAAUUUAUACAAUGUCUUAGACUUCCCUGCUGGGGUGGUGCCGGUCAGCACGGUCACAAGAGCCGAUGAAGAAGAACUGAAGCAUUACCGAGGGCACUACGGAGACCCUUGGGAUAAGAGGCUGAAAGAGGCUGUGGAAGGAGCUGUGGGGCUGCCAGUGGCUGUCCAAUGUGUGGCUUUGCCAUGGCAGGAAGAGCUGUGCCUUCGCUUCAUGAAGGAGGUGGAGAUGCUUGCCCACAGCAUGAAGAGAAAUGUGUGAUUUCUGGGAACCAAUAACCACAAAGCAGAUAGUGACCUGCAGACUCUGAACCACUGUUUCAAUAAGCUGGCAAUAAAUGCUGUUUAAAAACAGCCAGCAAAAAUCUCA